AAUAUAGAUCAUAUUACAAGAACCCGCAAGGGUAGCCCGGUGGGUGAGGGAAGAAAACCUGGGGUCUGGAAGUUUGCUCCUCCUGGAGGUCUCAAGUUCGAAUCCUACUCCCCACGGGUUACUGUGCGGGCCACUGGAGGUUUGCCCGGUCGUUAAUUUCAGGGCCCUCAGGACUAGUCCCAUGCUUCGGCUGUGGGGAUACCUGAGUCAUCAAAAAAAAAAAAAAAA